GCGCGCACGCCGUGCGUGCCGGGCGCUCGCGACUGUACCUGGCGCGGCCCGGAGGACCGCAGUUUGGCCUGCCAUGUUCCUCUCCGCGGCGCUCCGGGCCCGUGCAGCCGGCUUCGCCGCCCAGUGGGGAAGACAUGUAAGGAAUUUGCAUAAGACAGCUGUGCAGAAUGGAGCUGGAGGAGCCUUAUUUGUGCACAGAGAUACUCCUGAGAAUAACCCAGAUACUCCAUUUGAUUUCACACCGGAAAACUAUAAGAGGAUAGAGGCAAUUGUAAAAAACUACCCAGAAGGGCAUAAAGCAGCAGCUGUGCUUCCAGUCCUGGAUUUAGCCCAAAGACAGAAUGGAUGGCUGCCCAUCUCUGCUAUGAACAAGGUUGCAGAAGUUUUACAAGUACCUCCAAUGAGAGUAUAUGAAGUAGCAACUUUUUAUACAAUGUAUAAUCGAAAGCCAGUUGGAAAGUAUCAUGUUCAAGUCUGCACUACUACGCCUUGCAUGCUUCGUAACUCCGACAGCAUACUGGAGGCCAUUCAGAAAAAGCUUGGAAUAAAGGUUGGAGAGACUACACCUGACAAACUUUUCACUCUUAUAGAAGUGGAAUGUUUAGGGGCCUGUGUAAACGCACCAAUGGUUCAAAUAAAUGACAACUACUAUGGGCUUCCCUGGUGGCGUAGUGGUUAAGAAUCUGCCUCCCAGUGCAGGGGACGCAGGUUCAAGCCCUGGUCUGGGAAGAUCCCACAUGCCGUGGAGCAACUAAGCCUGUGCACCACAACUACUGAGCCUGCGCUCUAGAGCCUGCGAGCCACAACUACUGAGCCCGCGUGCCACAACUACUGAAGCCCACGCACCUAGAGCCUGUGCUUCACAACAAGAGAGGCCACUGCAGUGAGAAGCCCGCACGUCGCAACGAAGAGUAGACCCCGCUCGCCACAACUAGAGAAAGCCUGCGCACAGCAACAAAGACCCAGCGUGGCCAAAAGAGGAUCUGACACCUAAGGAUAUUGAAGAAAUUAUUGAUGAACUCAAGGCUGGCAAAAUCCCAAAACCUGGGCCAAG